GGCGAAGUGGCCGAGUGGUUAAGGCGCUAUGUUUAGGCCGUAGUGGGAAACCUCGCGAGUUCGAAUCUCGUCUUCGUCA
rnacentral:tRNA from 1 species